rnacentral:rRNA from 1 species
UACGUAGGGUGCGAGCGUUGUCCGGAAUUAUUGGGCGUAAAGGGCUCGUAGGCGGUUUGUCGCGUCGGGAGUGAAAUCCAUUGGCUUAACUGGUGGCUUGCUUUCGAUACGGGCAGACUGGAGGUAUGCAGGGGAGAGCGGAAUUCCUGGUGUAGCGGUGAAAUGCGUAGAUAUCUGGAGGAACACCGGUGGCGAAGGCGGCAUUCUGGACCAAUAUUGACGCUGAGAAGCGAAAGCCAGGGGAGCAAACGGG